UAUCUCUGUAGAGUCUGCAUAUCAAUAAGCGGAGGAAAAGAAACUAACAUAGGAUUCCCUUAGUAACGGCGAGUGAAGCGGGAAGAGCUCAAAUUUGAAAUCUUCAAGGUUUACCUUGACGAAUUGUAGUUUAAAGAAGUGUUUUCUGUUGGUGUUUUGGUAAAAGUUCUUUGGAAUAGGACAUCAUAGAGGGUGAGAAUCCCGUAUUCGACCAUUACUUCCAGCGUUGUGAUACACUUUCAAAGAGUCGGAUUGUUUGGGAAUGCAGUCCAAAAUGGGUGGUAAAUUUCAUCUAAAGCUAAUUAUUGGCGAGAGACCGAUAGCGAACAAGUACCGUGAGGGAAAGAUGAAAAGAACUUUGAAAAGAGAGUUAAACAGUACGUGAAAUUGUCAAAAGGGAAGCGUUUGACACCAGUGUUGUUUUCUCGAAAAUCAAUUAAAAAAAGUUGGAUUUUGUAUUGUUAAGACCUUAUCAGCUUACUGUACUCUUUUCUUGCUUUUUUUAAUGCACUUCUCGUUUAACAAGUCAACAUCAAUUUCUUUUGUUGUAAAAGAGUCAUUGGAAGGUGGCUUUCACUUCGGUGAAAGUGUUUAUAGCCUUUGGCUUCUGCAAUCGGAGAGAUUGAGGUCUGCAGCGUAGAUCCUUCGGGGCUAGAUACGUAGAUGCUAUGUUAUAGUUUUUUAUAGACAACUUGUUGACUAUAAUUAAUCAUGUAGCUUACUCGUUUGCGCUAUUUUACCUACGCUUAGGAUGUUGAAGAUGUAGCACAUCAU
rnacentral:rRNA from 1 species